CCCCCUCUCUGCAGCUCCGUCGGGCGGACACGGUUUGUGUGCGGCAGUGAAGAGGAGGCGACCUGGGGUGGGGAGUGGAGGGAGGUGGGUGGGGGGUGCAGAUUUCUGUGCUACUGUUUGGUCCUCAAGGGGAGGAGCCAGUUGUCGAUUCUACGCUUGCGAGGAGAGAAGGCGCCGUGCAGAGAGAAAGGCUGGAUCCCAGAUGGCCUGCAUCACUACUAACAGUAUCAGUUUGUGUGACCUUCCCUGCCAGUUUGCAACACAGACUUGCUGAUAAAAAGUCUCAAAGUCAAAAACAUCUGACAUCAUCACAGCUUUUUUUUUUUUUUUUAAUCUUUGUAAAGCUCCUCCGAAGCUGCAGAGGACAAAUGGGAUGACCUUUUAUGCAUGUAUCAGUAAAACAGCCUUGCCAACUUUGCUCGCGUGUGUUUUCUGUGGGAAACUGUCUCAAAUAUACACAGGUGACGGUAUGUUUUUAUGGAUGAAGAAAAAGAAAUGGGCUGAAAAGUUUGAUUUGGAAUUCCCAAGGCAGUAAGCAAUCUGGAAGACUUGGAUGGACACUAGCUGCAACUGUGUCAAAUGU
ensembl:lncRNA